GACGUAGGGCGCGAGCGUUGUCCGGAUUUAUUGGGCGUAAAGAGCGUGUAGGCGGUCUGAAAGGUCAGCUGUGAAAACUCGAGGCUCAACCUCGAGACGUCGGUUGAAACCGUAUGGCUAGAGUCCGGAAGAGGAGAGUGGAAUUCCCGGUGUAGCGGUGAAAUGCGCAGAUAUUGGGAAGAACACCGGUGGCGAAGGCGGCUCUCUGGACCGAUACUGACGCUGAGGCGCGAAAGCGUGGGGAGCAAACAGG
rnacentral:rRNA from 1 species